rnacentral:rRNA from 1 species
AACCCAAAGACUUUGAUUUCUCAUAAGGUACUGAAGGAAGAAAUCUAAGAACUAUCCCCGAAGAGACUAUCCUUAUUUGUUUUACUUUCAUCCAAAACCUAGUCGGUAUAGUUUAUGGUUAAGAUUACGACGGUAUCUGAUCGUCUUCACUCCCUUAACUUUCGUUCUUGAUUAAUGGAAGUAUUUUAGACAAAUGCCUUCGCAGUUGUUUGUCUCCAGAAAAUCUUAGAAUUUCACCUCUGACAUCUGAAUACAAAUGUCCCCAAACUACUCCUAUUAAUCGUAACUAAGCCAAAAAUAAAAAAAAAGAAACAUAGUUUUGACCUGUUCAAUUUUGUUAUUCCAUGCUGUAGUAUUCAAACGCACAAAUGCUAUAUAUCUGUUUGCUUUGAACACUCUAAUUUACUCAAAGUAACAAAAUCUUCCAUAUAUUUUUAUUAGUUAUAGAAGAUUUUAAAAAGAAACCCUUUAAUUUAAUUAACACUUAAUAGGUAGAGGAUGCGCACAUAAAGCAGAAAACAUAUAUGGAAUUCGCUUUU